rnacentral:rRNA from 1 species
GACAGAGGGUGCAAACGUUGUUCGGAAUUACUGGGCGUAAAGCGAGUGUAGGCGGUUCGCUAAGUCGGGUGUGAAAGCCCCGGGCUCAACCCGGGAAGUGCACUCGAAACUGGCGGGCUAGAGUAUCGGAGAGGUUGGUGGAAUUCUCGGUGUAGAGGUGGAAUUCGUAGAUAUCGAGAGGAACACCGGUGGCGAAGGCGGCCAACUGGACGAAUACUGACGCUGAGACUCGAAAGCGUGGGGAGCAAACAGG